UGUUCAUAGUUUAUUGUUGCUGAUUCUGUUCCUUCAAGGAGUGCGGGAGUUUGGUGGUGUGGUGACUCCGUACAAUGAUCAGGGUCGAGCAGAUGUCCACCAGGGCUGUUCCAGCUGCCUGCUCAUUGUCUACCAUGGAGUGUGUGGGGUGCACCGGAGAGGAUGCUGCUCAUUUACAGAAGUGAGGGGAAACACCUGGACUCUGAGGAACUGAAAGCUGCUGAAAGCGAACACAGGAGGAUAGCCGAGUGUCUGAAGUUCAAUGUUGGAAUAAGCUUCCGCUAUGACGGGAAGGCAGAUUGUUACCUGGAAAAGAAGAAAGAAACAGAAGAAGCCUAGAAAUAUUUAAUUUGAUGACUACAUGAUUAAAGUCAUUUCCUUCAAUCUCAAUUUGUCACUUAAAGAAGUAAAAUCACAUAUACUUACUAAGACAGUAGUCUGGCAAAAGUAUUUAAACAUAAAUUAUUAUGACAAAACAAGAAAGUGUUUUAAAAUUCAGUAUGCAGUAUUAAUGUAAAUCAAAAUUAACCUAAAUGUUUUAUAGCUGAGUCGCAAUUAAGAGAAAAUAAGUCAAAUUUCUGGGUUUAUGAAUCAGAACAUGUUUUUUCUUUCAGUUAAUGAAUAUGAUUUAAUUACUGAAUAUAGCUUGAUCCUAUGUAUUAAUAUGCUAUCAUUUGGAAUUUUGUUUUGCUGAGCAACAUGAUGGUAAUAAUAGGCAAGGCAAGUUUAUUGUUAAUGUUUUACUUUUCUUUCCGAUAGAAAGGACUCCUGGAUCAGUGCUUCUUUGUUCUUUUUGUGUCUCUGCUCUGUUCUCU